GAGUAACGCGUGGGUAACCUGCCUCAUACAGGGGGAUAACAGUUGGAAACGACUGCUAAUACCGCAUAAGCGCACGGUACCGCAUGGUACCGUGUGAAAAACUCUGGUGGUAUGAGAUGGACCCGCGUCUGAUUAGCUAGUUGGUGGGGUAACAGCCUACCAAGGCGACGAUCAGUAGCCGACCUGAGAGGGUGACCGGCCACAUUGGGACUGAGACACGGCCCAAACUCCUACGGGAGGCAGCAGUGGGGAAUAUUGCACAAUGGGGGAAACCCUGAUGCAGCGACGCCGCGUGAGCGAAGAAGUAUUUCGGUAUGUAAAGCUCUAUCAGCAGGGAAGAAAAAAAUGACGGUACCUGACUAAGAAGCACCGGCUAAAUACGUGCCAGCAGCCGCGGUAAUACGUAUGGUGCAAGCGUUAUCCGGACUUACUGGGUGUAAAGGGAGCGCAGGCGGUGCGGCAAGUCUGAUGUGAAAGCCCGGGGCUCAACCCCGGUACUGCAUUGGAAACUGUCGUACUAGAGUGUCGGAGGGGUAAGUGGAAUUCCUAGUGUAGCGGUGAAAUGCGUAGAUAUUAGGAGGAACACCAGUGGCGAAGGCGGCUUACUGGACGAUAACUGACGCUGAGGCUCGAAAGCGUGGGGAGCAAACAGGAUUAGAUACCCUGGUAGUCCACGCUGUAAACGAUGAAUACUAGGUGUUGGAGAGCAUUGCUCUUCGGUGCCGCAG
rnacentral:rRNA from 1 species